GGUCAGAGGCGGUGGCCGAGCGCGCAACGGAAUCUCUCAUGUUCUGUCUCUCUCUCUCCCAUUGCCGAUGGGAAUUACUUUCCGCCGUAGUUAAGACUUUAUUUAUGGGAAUUUUGAGAAGAUUUUUCUACUGAGUGUUUCUCACGUAUGUUGCCAUAUCCCCUGGAUCUCCAAUAUUGAAUAAGUAUUACGGUUUUUAUUAUUUUGGCAAAUAUAUGCAGCUAUUCUGAGCAGCGCGAGGUGGUGGCCAAAUCGUGAAGUUCCAAGCCUGGAUUCACCUUAAUGUUAAGCACUUUAAACAGAUCUACCCUCAAAUUACUGUAAAUUGCAGGAAACCCAAAUCGUUCAGAAAAGUAGGAGUAGUUUCGAAUUUUUUGCCCAUACAGUAUCUGAAAAUUAAGUUAAUCAUAUCAGAGAAGUUUUGUGAAGUUUUCAUUGGAUUCUCUAAGCUAUUUCGUCAUUUUUCUCCUUUUUAUUGUCGAAAACUCAUCUAGAUUAACUUUCAAACCUACACACCCACGGUCUAUUCUUCAAAUUUCCCAAACUGAGGUCAACCCAAGAAUGGGCCGCCAUGCCCAUGCGAUUACACUCAUCAGAUCUGCAAUUGGUCAACGGAGCACUGCCCCGCCAAACUACGUUCUGUCCGCUGCUCUCCAUGCUGG